AGUAACACGUGGGAACGUGCCCUUCGGUUCGGAAUAACUCUGGGAAACUAGAGCUAAUACCGGAUACGCCCUUUUGGGGAAAGGUUUACUGCCGAAGGAUCGGCCCGCGUCUGAUUAGCUAGUUGGUGGGGUAAUGGCCUACCAAGGCGACGAUCAGUAGCUGGUCUGAGAGGAUGAUCAGCCACACUGGGACUGAGACACGGCCCAGACUCCUACGGGAGGCAGCAGUGGGGAAUAUUGGACAAUGGGCGCAAGCCUGAUCCAGCCAUGCCGCGUGAGUGAUGAAGGCCUUAGGGUUGUAAAGCUCUUUUGUCCGGGACGAUAAUGACGGUACCGGAAGAAUAAGCCCCGGCUAACUUCGUGCCAGCAGCCGCGGUAAUACGAAGGGGGCUAGCGUUGCUCGGAAUCACUGGGCGUAAAGGGCGCGUAGGCGGUCUUUUAAGUCGGGGGUGAAAGCCUGUGGCUCAACCACAGAAUUGCCUUCGAUACUGGAAGACUUGAGUUCGGAAGAGGUUGGUGGAACUGCGAGUGUAGAGGUGAAAUUCGUAGAUAUUCGCAAGAACACCGGUGGCGAAGGCGGCCAACUGGUCCGACACUGACGCUGAGGCGCGAAAGCGUGG
rnacentral:rRNA from 1 species